AGAGUUUGAUCAUGGCUCAGAACGUACGCUGGCGGCACGCCUAACACAUGCAAGUCGAACGCAGUAGCAAUACUGAGUGGCAGACGGGUGAGUAUAAUGUGGGAAUCUGCCUUUUGGUUCGGAAUAACACGAGGAAACUUGUGCUAAUACCGGAUAAGCCUUCACAGGGAAAGUUUUAAUGCCAAAAGAUGAGCCCGCACUUGAUUAGCUAGUUGGUAAGGUAAUAGCUUACCAAGGCAACGAUCAAUAGCUGUUCUUAGAGGAAGACCAGCCACAUUGGGACUGAGACACGGCCCAAACUCCUACGGGAGGCAGCAGUGGGGAAUCUUGCACAAUGGGGGAAACCCUGAUGCAGCGAUGCCGCGUGAGUGAAGAAGGCCUUUGGGUUGUAAAACUCUUUCGUCGGGGAAGAAAAUGACUGUACCCGAAUAAGAAGGUCCGGCUAACUCCGUGCCAGCAGCCGCGGUAAUACGGAGGGUGCGAGCGUUAAUCGGAAUUACUGGGCGUAAAGCGUACGCAGGCGGUUUGUUAAGCGAGAUGUGAAAGCCCCGGGCUCAACCUGGGAACUGCAUUUCGAACUGGCAAACUAGAGUGUGAUAGAGGGUGGUAGAAUUUCAGGUGUAGCGGUGAAAUGCGUAGAGAUCUGAAGG
rnacentral:rRNA from 1 species